ACGGGUGAGUAACGCGUGGGAAUCUACCGUGCCCUGCGGAAUAGCUCCGGGAAACUGGAAUUAAUACCGCAUACGCCCUACGGGGGAAAGAUUUAUCGGGGUAUGAUGAGCCCGCGUUGGAUUAGCUAGUUGGUGGGGUAAAGGCCUACCAAGGCGACGAUCCAUAGCUGGUCUGAGAGGAUGAUCAGCCACAUUGGGACUGAGACACGGCCCAAACUCCUACGGGAGGCAGCAGUGGGGAAUAUUGGACAAUGGGCGCAAGCCUGAUCCAGCCAUGCCGCGUGAGUGAUGAAGGCCUUAGGGUUGUAAAGCUCUUUCACCGGAGAAGAUAAUGACGGUAUCCGGAGAAGAAGCCCCGGCUAACUUCGUGCCAGCAGCCGCGGUAAUACAAAAGGGGCUAGCGUUGUUCGGAAUUACUGGGCGUAAAGCGCACGUAGGCGGAUAUUUAAGUCAGGGGUGAAAUCCCAGAGCUCAACUCUGGAAUGGCCCUUUGAUACUGGGUAUCUUGAGUAUGGAAGAGGUAAGUGGAAUUCCGAGUGUAGAGGUGAAAUUCGUAGA
rnacentral:rRNA from 1 species